rnacentral:lncRNA from 1 species
UUCAGUGCCCUGUCCACCGAUGAAUAUCACCUUCACGGGUGACAGUUCCUCUGCCACAGUGGCCUGGAGGUCCUCAGCUCUUACCACAGGAUACAGGGUUUACCAGCUGAGCUCUCAGAUAACAAGUCAAACUUGCCAUGCUGGAAAAAAAAACAGUCUAAGGUUGUAUUAAGCAGACUGGUCUCAGAAGAAUAAGAAGUUUGUAUAGAACAUGCUAUAAAUAUUCUCUCUUGAUAUAUUACUCUGUACUCUCCUUCAGUGCCCUGUCCACCGAUGAAUAUCACCUUCACGGGUGACAGUUCCUCUGCCACAGUGGCCUGGAGGUCCUCAGCUCUUACCACAGGAUACAGGGUUUACCAGCUGAGCUCUGACGGCAGGGUGCCUGUCUGUCUCACCUCAAACCUCAGCUGUGAGGUCUCUGGCCUGCAGGCCUCUAAUGUUGCUGUGACAGCCUGGAACAGUGCAGGAGAAAGUUUUGCAUCUAGAGUAGCUACUGGUCAAACCUCAAACCGUCGGAAGAGGAAUCUGGAAUAUGCAAGGAUGUAUGCAUCACUGACCCCUGAACAGCUGGCCGUCCCUGAGGUGAAGGUUGCUGUGACAGGACAGUCACUACAGGUGGAGUGGUCUCGGGUGACAGGGGCGGAGUCCUACACUCUGAUUGUAUACGAGGACAGCGAAGAACAGCUGACGGAGGUUGUGUCCGUGUACAGGACUGAGAUUGCUACAGUUACUGAGCUAGAGCAUGCAACACUUUACUGCAUCAUCGUGUCUGCCAAAAACGACAACAUCCAGAGUGCCUAUUCCCAGCCUGUGUGUGUCAUUACUGAUGCCUCUGAGUAAACUUGCUUCCUGCAGGGUGGACUGUACAGGACUGUAGAUACAAAACAAACCAAAGUGGUGUUGAGUUCUCUGAACUAGCAUCUUCUCUUUCUUAUAUUCCAUGAUUACUACUAAAAAGACAACAAAAUCAGCCUAUUUGUCGUAGCAGAAAAUCUAAACAAAUAUACUAGUUAAGAAUUAUUGACUGAUUAUGUCUCCUUAACUAAUCCUUUUCCAAUGAACCCAAUCAUAAUAAAACAAACUACUGAAUUUCUAUGGUUAUAUUUAAUAUAUAAUCAUUUCUGUUGAUUGAAAAACAUAGGCAUGGUCACUUAAAAUGAAGAAUAGAUGUGAAGAGAAUAUACAUUGAUUGGCCAUAGAAACAUGUUAUACUGUAACACAGUUUUUAAAGAAAGUUGUGUAUUUAUCUUAACAAGUCACUUUCUGUAACCAGCUCAUAAAAUGAUUUAAUCAAGAAUGUUUGUGUAGCUAGAUCAAAUAAAUGGUUAAUUUAUCCAGCAUUUUUUUUAAACCAUACAUUGUAUUUUCUGAUGUAUACGUGGCGCUGUUAACGAUCUGAAAUAGUACUUUUAUACAUAAAGCCAUAUGAAAGGUUUAAAGUCUGUGAAUGAAAACAUCACACGCGAUGUACUAAUAAUUAGAAUCUUCAUCUUUUCUUAUAAUCACCUAAGUAUAACGCAACAUUUUUUUCUUCUAAAAAAAUCAUGCUGCAUGAUUUUUCUUUAACAAUCUGAAAUUAAGAUUUUUCCCCCAGCCA